UACAGGGGGUGCAAGCGUUGCUCGGAAUUACUGGGCGUAAAGCGAGCGCAGGCGGCCGAUUAAGUCAGAGGUGAAAACUCGGGGCUCAACCCCGAGCCUGCUUCUGAUACGGGCAGACUGGAGGUAUGCAGGGGAGAACGGAAUUCCUGGUGUAGCGGUGAAAUGCGCAGAUAUCAGGAGGAACACCGGUGGCGAAGGCGGUUCUCUGGGCAUUACCUGACGCUGAGGAGCGAAAGUGUGGGGAGCGAACAGG
rnacentral:rRNA from 1 species